UAGGAUCUCAGCAGAAUCAUUACACAGUUUCAGAAGCCACAAUUGCCUGGCAUGCUGUCUGGUCAUGAUGCGUGGCUACAAUGAAGUCCUGCUGACCCCAAGCAUGGUGUGAAAUGAAGAAAUGGCACUCCACAUCCAUAGAGAGCUUGAUUUCCCCUGUUUCAUGCUUACUUGUUGGCAUAGCCAGUCUGUUAGCUUAAUUUUUGGUUCUUCCCUAUUGAAUGCUCAAGAAAGGCACCAAAACUGUCAUUCAUUGAAAAAAAAGUUGUUUGCAGACACUGCCAUGCACAAAGCCCUUGACUUCAUUGAAUGUUUUUAAAAGAAAAUGCAGCUUCUGUGUGCAGCAAUAGGCUGAACAAGAUGAGGGCAAACAGGAAGGUUGCGACAUUAGUGUUCAAGAGUUGGCCAACAAAGAAGGUCACAAGCUGAAGCCAACAUCUUUACAAGGGAACAAAUGGAUUUAGCCUGAGCCAUUCCCUGUUCGACCA
rnacentral:lncRNA from 1 species